CAGAUACCAUCAGCCUCCUGGAGCAGUGAGCUCUGUGGUUUGCCAGGAGGUGACAAGGGUACCUGCUGGGCCACUUCCUGGAACCAACUUGUGAUCUGGAACAGGCCUCAGACGGAACCUCCGUGGCCCUCUUCACUGAGGCUGCCAAAGAUACUCAUCAGCAACGCAGUGAACCAAGUGUGUUCAACCUCAUUCACGCCUCAAGAAAUGCAAGUUGAAAUUUCACCCAUCAGGUGAAGAUAUUUAAGCAGGAAAGCAAGUCAGGAAGCCUCCCUCUCAGCUCCAGUCCACACUGAAAAUGGAAGAGCAGUCCAUCUCAACAGGGACACUGGCUGCCCCUGAGAAGUGACAUCCAGUAGUCAUGUACAGAUGUGAGAGCUGAACCAUAAAGAGGGCUGAGCGCCAACAAGUUGAUGCUUUCAACUAUCAAGUUGGAGACUCUCAAGACUUUUGAGAGUCCCUUGGACAGCAAGGAGAUGAAACCAAU
ensembl:lncRNA